GACGAACGCUGGCGGCGUGCUUAACACAUGCAAGUCGAACGCUGAAGCUCAGCUUUUGUUGGGUGGAUGAGUGGCGAACGGGUGAGUAACACGUGAGUAACCUGCCUCCUUCUUUGGGAUAACGCCCGGAAACGGGUGCUAAUACUGGAUAUUCACUGGUCUUCGCAUGGGGGUUGGUGGAAAGGGUUUUUCUGGUGGGGGAUGGGCUCGCGGCCUAUCAGCUUGUUGGUGGGGUGAUGGCCUACCAAGGCUUUGACGGGUAGCCGGCCUGAGAGGGUGACCGGUCACAUUGGGACUGAGAUACGGCCCAGACUCCUACGGGAGGCAGCAGUGGGGAAUAAUGCACAAUGGGCGCAAGCCUGAUGCAGCGACGCCGCGUGAGGGAUGGAGGCCUUCGGGUUGUGAACCUCUUUCGCUCAUGGUCAAGCCACAACAAUGGUUGUGGUGAGGGUAGUGGGUAAAGAAGCGCCGGCUAACUACGUG
rnacentral:rRNA from 1 species